rnacentral:lncRNA from 1 species
GUAUUCUCUUAUAUAUGUCCCACUGGGACAAAAAGAAAAUUCUUGGACUGGGAUUCCUGGCCAAGUGAUGUGAAGACCCCAGAACUUCUGAGUCUGCUUUUCCUUAAGUUCCUGGAUUUAAUCAGACCUUCAGUGGACCCGAGGUUCUAAGUCUCCAGAAAGCAAGAAGCACAGUGGUGAAGAAUUGAAGGUUUUACUUCUCCAAACUGCUUACUGACCAUCUCUCUCACCUGAGGAACCUGGACAUGACAUACCUAAUUAAAGCCGUUAAUCUGAAUGUCCUCAGCAACCUGACAUAGCUGGACGUGGGAUGUACAGAUGUGUGCAGACAUGCACGCAGGCAAAU